rfam:Musa acuminata subsp. malaccensis Doubled-haploid Pahang (DH-Pahang) genomic chromosome, chr6
GAUCUGCAAAGAGAGCUUCCUCCAGUCCACUCAUGGGUGACCAUGGGAUUUGAUUAGCUGCCGACUCAUUCAUCCACAUGCCUAGCAGCAGGUGAGCGAUUUGCUUGGCAGAUGAGUGAAUGAUGCGGGAGGUAAGUCGGAUCCCAUGCCAUCGUUGCUUGGACUGAAGGGAGCUCCCUUAUCUUCCGAC